rnacentral:rRNA from 1 species
UGGGGAAUCUUGGACAAUGGGGCGAACCCUGAUCCAGCCAUGCCGCGUGAGUGAUGAAGGCCUUAGGGUCGUAAAGCUCUUUCGCCUGUGAAGAUAAUGACGGUAGCAGGUAAAGAAACCCCGGCUAACUCCGUGCCAGCAGCCGCGGUAAUACGGAGGGGGGUUAGCGUUGUUCGGAAUUACUGGGCGUAAAGCGCACGUAGGCGGACCAGAAAGUUGGGGGUGAAAUCCCAGGGCUCAACCUUGGAACUGCCUUUAAAACUGCUAGUCUAGAGACCGGAAGAGGUUAGGGGAAUACCUAGUGUAGAGGUGAAAUUCGUAGAUAUUAGGUGGAACACCAGUGGCGAAGGCGCCUAACUGGUCCGGUACUGACGCUGAGGAACGAAAGCGUGGGGAGCAAACAGGAUUAGAUACCCUGGUAGUCCACGCCGUAAACGAUGAGUGCUAGAUGUUGGGAGACUUGAUUUCUUAGUGGCGCAGCUAACGCACUAAGUAGACCGCCUGGGAGUACGGCCGCAAGGUUAAAACUC